rnacentral:sRNA from 1 species
GCCAGGUGUGGUGUCGCAUGCCUGUAAUCCCAGCUACUCAGGAGGCUGAGGCAGGAGAAUUGCUUGAGCCCAGGAGGCAGAGGCUGCAGUGAGCUGAGAUUGCACCACUGCACUCCAGCCUGGGCAACAAAGCUAGACUCUGUUUCAA